rnacentral:rRNA from 1 species
GAUGAACGCUGGCGGCGUGCCUAAUACAUGCGAGUCGAGCGAACGGACGAGAAGCUUGCUUUUCUGAUGUUAGCGGCGGACGGGUGAGUAACACGUGGAUAACCUACCUAUAAGACUGGGAUAACUUCGGGAAACCGGAGCUAAUACCGGAUAAUAUUUUGAACCGCAUGGUUCAAAAGUGAAAGACGGUCUUGCUAUCACUUAUAGAUGGAUCCGCGCUGCAUUAGCUAGUUGGUAAGGUAACGGCUUACCAAGGCAACGAUGCAUAGCCGACCUGAGAGGGUGAUCGGCCACACUGGAACUGAGACACGGUCCAGACUCCUACGGGAGGCAGCAGUAGGGAAUCUUCCGCAAUGGGCGAAAGCCUGACGGAGCAACGCCGCGGGAGUGAUGAAGGGCUUCGGAUCGUAAAACUCUGUUAUUAGGGAAGAACAUAUGUGUAAGUAACUGUGCACAUCUUGACGGUACCUAAUCAGAAAGCCACGGCUAACUACGUGC